UACGGAGGGUGCAAGCGUUAUCCGGAUUUACUGGGUUUAAAGGGUGUGUAGGCGGAUCUUUAAGUCAGGGGUGAAAACCCGAGGCUCAACCUCGGGACGUCGGCGGAAACCAUCUGGCUAGAGUCCGGAAGAGGAGAGUGGAAUUCCCGGUGUAGCGGUGAAAUGCGCAGAUAUCGGGAAGAACACCCGUGGCGAAGGCGGCUCUCUGGGACGGUACUGACGCUGAGACGCGAAAGCGUGGGGAGCGAACAGG
rnacentral:rRNA from 1 species